UCUGGGUGUGGUGGUGCAUGCCUACAAUCCCUGCUUUUGGGGAGGCUGAGCCUGGCAGAUCUCUUUAACUCAGAAGUCCUAAGCUGCAGUGGGCUAAGCCAAUCAAGUGUCUGUACUAAGUUUGGCAAUCGUAAGAUAAGUUCUUGGGAGCGAGGAACCACUACAUUGCCUAAGAAGGGGUGAACUGGCUUAGAUUGGAAAAAAAUGUUGAGCAAAGCUCCUGUGUUGACCAGAGUACAAUAAGGCUUGUAAGUAACUCUUGUAUUUGUUGCCAGGGCAAAAUAAGGACACCUGGUCUG
rnacentral:SRP_RNA from 1 species